rnacentral:rRNA from 1 species
AGGACGAACGCUGGCGGCGUGCUUAACACAUGCAAGUCGAGCGGAAAGGCCCUUCGGGGUACUCGAGCGGCGAACGGGUGAGUAACACGUGAGUAAUCUGCCCUUAGCUCUGGGAUAGCUCCGGGAAAACCGGGAUUAAUACCAGAUACGACCACUUUAGACAUCUGCCGUGGUGGAAAGAAUUUCGGCUAAGGAUGAGCUCGCGGCCUAUCAGCUUGUUGGUGGGGUAACGCCUACCAAGGCGACGACGGGUAGCCGG